AGUGAACGCUGGCGGUAGGCCUAACACAUGCAAGUCGAACGGCAGCACAGUAAGAGCUUGCUCUUACGGGUGGCGAGUGGCGGACGGGUAAGGAAUACAUCGGAAUCUACUUUUUCGUGGGGGAUAACGUAGGGAAACUUACGCUAAUACCGCAUACGACCUACGGGUGAAAGCAGGGGAUCUUCGGACCUUGCGCGAUUGAAUGAGCCGAUGUCGGAUUAGCUAGUUGGCGGGGUAAAGGCCCACCAAGGCGACGAUCCGUAGCUGGUCUGAGAGGACGAUCAGCCACACUGGAACUGAGACACGGUCCAGACUCCUACGGGAGGCAGCAGUGGGGAAUAUUGGACAAUGGGCGCAAGCCUGAUCCAGCCAUACCGCGUGGGUGAAGAAGGCCUUCGGGUUGUAAAGCCCUUUUGUUGGGAAAGAAAAGCAGCAGGUUAAUACCCCGCUGUUCUGACGGUACCCAAAGAAUAAGCACCGGCUAACUUCGUG
rnacentral:rRNA from 1 species